rnacentral:rRNA from 1 species
GACGAACGCUGGCGGCGUGCUUAACACAUGCAAGUCGAGCGGUAAGGCCUUUCGGGGUACACGAGCGGCGAACGGGUGAGAACACGUGGGUGAUCUGCCCUGCACUUCGGGAUAAGCCUGGGAAACUGGGUCUAAUACCGGAUAUGACCUCCUAUCGCAUGGUGGGUGGUGGAAAGAUUUAUCGGUGCAGGAUGGGCCCGCGGCCUAUCAGCUUGUUGGUGGGGUAAUGGCCUACCAAGGCGACGACGGGUAGCCGACCUGAGAGGGUGACCGGCCACACUGGGACUGAGACACGGCCCAGACUCCUACGGGAGGCAGCAGUGGGGAAUAUUGCACAAUGGGCGAAAGCCUGAUGCAGCGACGCCGCGUGAGGGAUGACGGCCUUCGGGUUGUAAACCUCUUUCAGCAGGGACGAAGCGCAAGUGACGGUACCUGCAGAAGAAGCACCGGCUAACUACGUG